rnacentral:misc_RNA from 1 species
UACGUAGGGUGCUAGCGUUGUUCGGAAUCAUUGGGCGUAAAGCGCGUGUAGGUGGUUAGUUAAGUCGGGUGUGAAAUCCCUGGGCUCAACCGAGGAAGUGCAUCCGAAACUAACUAGCUAGAAGAUGGUAGAGGAAGGUGGAAUUCCAAGUGUAGAGGUGAAAUUCGUAGAUAUUUGGAGGAAUACCGGUGGCGAAGGCGGCCUUCUGGACCAUUCUUGACACUGAGACGCGAAAGCGUGGGGAGCAAACAGG